rnacentral:rRNA from 1 species
UACGAAGGGGGCUAGCGUUGCUCGGAAUCACUUGGGCGGUAAAGCGCACGUAGGCGGAUUGCUAAGUCAGGGGUGAAAUCCUGGAGCUCAACUCCAGAACUGCCUUUGAUACUGGCGAUCUCGAGUCCGGGAGAGGUGAGUGGAACUGCGAGUGUAGAGGUGAAAAUUCGUAGAUAUUCGCAAGAACACCAGUGGCGAAGGCGGCUCUCUGGACCGAGACUGAACGCUGAGGCGCGAAAGCGUGGGGAGCAAACAGG